AGAAGGGAGUAACAAAGGCGGGAUGGGAAAUAGAAACAGGAGCGUCGCCUGCUUAGCAGCGAGUGUGAAACAGGUGGAGGGAAACAAAGGGGGAAAUCGCGUGGAGAGGGAUAAGGGUUUAAGAGAGGGAUCGUUUCUGUCAAAGCUCUGGAGAAACACGUGUAGGGAACUGCAGAGACGUGACACCGUGCCUGGCACACGGAGAGCAGCUGCAGCCACUAGGGAUUGUCACCAUUGGGCCUCAGUGCCAGCAAACAAGUUCCCAGCACCGAUCUCGUGGGAGCUCACAGAUGCCAGAGUGCCUCACUCCUUCACAUUUCUUCACAGUUCCCCUUGUUUCCAAAUGUGCUGACAGACCCCAGCUAAUUGCAUCCGCACAAAGGAGACCCCAAGACCACGGGAAAUACUGCUUCCGAUGGCUCUGACUGUGGCAAACUCCAUUCUGUUUUACUCUUUGCCUGUUGCAGAGCUCCCUAGCAGCUGGCGUUUUGCAGAAUGCUGCAGCACAGGGGCUGUCCCCAGGGGAAGCGCAGAUGGAGCAGUGCUCAGUUUGGGGGAGAUCAGUCACAGCCUAAGCUGCUGCUUGCUCUGGGAAGCAGACCCAAGCCCAAGCACAGUGAGGUGGUAUCAGAGCUCACAGCUGAUGGGAUCACCUCAGGAAGUUUGUUUUCCGUCAAAUUGCCUGGGCCUAGAGAACAGUGCAAUCUGCCAGGCUGCAGUGACUCCCACCUGGUUCAUUCACCCCCACAAGAAAGACGGGCUUCUCUCUCACAACCAUACAUGAGCCGUGGCUUCUCCACCCACCCCCUGCCAACCAGUGUAGCAGACACAGCUGGGAGCUGAAAUGCGGGUCACAGGGCAGGAUGCUGCUACUCUGAGGCUCAUCACAUGAUUCAGUGUACAGACAGGAGGACAAGCUGGAGUAGCCUGCCUGUCGUGGAGAGUUCCCACAGUUACAUGAGGACGUUCUUUUGUCUUUUCUUCUCUCCCUCCCCUCUCUCUUCAUUCUCCUGCCUUCUCCAGAGCAUAUACUGCUUUGUUUUACAGGGUCAUCAUCACCUAGCACAGACCUGGAGCACCACUAGGAUAUCAGCACAAUUCCUGUUAAGCCUGACUGACCACUUCCUGCUCCCUUGCUGCAGCACCAGCAUUCCUUAAUGACAAGAGCACAGAUUCAGGGAACUGAGCUGGGGCUGAAAAAAGUUAACAUCUGGAGACACUACACACAUACUUCAGAGACCAUGUAAUCAAGAGCAAGGGACAGGAAGAAGACCCAGAACCCCUCUGUGAAGACUGCAGAACCCAGCUGCCCUGUUAGGGGGUGAAGGGUAUCUGUAAAAACUCUGUCAGAGACUCAAGAACUUAGAAAAUCCGAACAAAUCUGCAAAGUUUAUUAGAAGUGUGCUGUUACAAAUAAACUGACAUCCACCUAGAAAUCUGAAA